AGAGUUUGAUCCUGGCUCAGGAUGAACGCUGGCGGCAUGCCUAACACAUGCAAGUCGAACGGAGGUUUAUAUAACAGAACUCUCCGGAGGGAAGAUAUAUAAACCUAGUGGCGGACGGGUGAGUAACGCGUGGGCAACCUGCCCUGUACCGGGGGACAACAGCCAGAAAUGGCUGCUAAUACCGCAUAAGCCUGCGGUGCCGCAUGGCACAGCAGGGAAAACCACGGUGGUACAGGAUGGGCCCGCGUCUGAUUAGUUAGUUGGCAGGGUAACGGCCUACCAAGGCAGCGAUCAGUAGCCGGCUUGAGAGAGUGGACGGCCACAUUGGGACUGAGACACGGCCCAGACUCCUGCGGGAGGCAGCAGUGGGGAAUAUUGCACAAUGGGGGGAACCCUGAUGCAGCAAUGCCGCGUGGGUGAAGAAGCACUCCGGUGCGUAAAGCCCUGUCAGCAGGGAAGAAAAUGACAGUACCUGACCAAGAAGCCCCGGCUAACUACGUGCCAGCAGCCGCGGUAAUAUGUAGGGGGCAAGCGUUAUCCGGAUUUACUGGGUGUAAAGGGAGCGCAGGCGGUAUGGCAAGUCAGAUGUGAAAACCCAGGGCCCAACCCUGGGACUGCAUUUGAAACUGCCAUACUGGAGUGCCGGAGAGGUAAGUGGAAUUCCUAGUGUAGCGGUGAAAUGCGUAGAUAUUAGGAGGAACACCAGUGGCGAAGGCGGCUUACUGGACGGUAACUGACGCUGAGGCUCGAAAGCGUGGGGAGCAAACAGGAUUAGAUACCCUGGUAGUCCACGCUGUAAACGAUGAAUA
rnacentral:rRNA from 1 species